GGGGAGGGGGGUUAUUUGAACGGCGCUUGAUUUGACCUGGCUCAGUGCGGCUGGGUCACCUCCUUAGAGUUUGAUUAUCCGGCGGAGGGGGGGGUACCACCUGGGUAACCUGGCUGGUAGAAUGGGGUUACUCCCGGGAACCGGGGGUAAUACCGGAUAACUUUUUUCUUCGCAUGAAGGAAAAUUGAAAGGGGGGUUUUAGCUCCCCCUUACAGAGGGACCCGCGGCGCAUUAGUUAGUUGGGGAGGUAACGGCUCCCCAAGGCGACAAUGCGUACCCAAUUUGAGAGGGGGAUCGGCCCCCCGGGGACUGAAACACGGCCCAAACUCCUACGGGAGGCAGCAGUAGGGAAUCUUCCCCAAGGGACAAAAGUCUGACGGACCACCCCCGCGGGGGGGAGGAAGGUUUUCGGAUCGAAAAAUUUUGUUGUUAGGGAAAAACAAUUUUCUUUCGAAUAGGGGGGUACCUUGACGGUCCCUAACCAAAAAGCCCCGGUUAACUCCGUGCCACCAGCCGCGGUAAAACCUAGGGGGGGAAGCGUUUUCCGGAAUUUUUGGGGGUAAAGGGCGCGCGGGCGGUUUCUUAAGUCGAAGGGGAAACCCCCCGCCUCCCCCCGGGGAGGGUCUUUGGAAACUGGGGGAACUUGGGGGCAAAAAAAAAAAAAGGGGAAAUUCCCCCCUGUAACGGGAAAAUGGGGUAAAAAAUUGGGGAAGGAACCACCAGUGGCGAAGGCGGCUCUUUGGUCUGUAACUGACGCUGAGGCGCGAAAGCGUGGGGAGCGAACAGGAUUAGAUACCCUGGUAGUCCACCCCGUAAACGAUGAGUGCUAAGUGUUAGAGGGUUUCCGCCCUUUAGUGCUGCAGCUAACGCAUUAAGCACUCCGCCUGGGGAGUACGGCCGCAAGGCUGAAACUCAAAGGAAUUGACGGGGGCCCGCACAAGCGGUGGAGCAUGUGGUUUAAUUCGAAGCAACGCGAAGAACCUUACCAGGUCUUGACAUCCUCUUGCCCUCCCUAGAGAUAGGGAUUUCCCUUCGGGGACAAGAGUGACAGGUGGUGCAUGGUUGUCGUCAGCUCGUGUCGUGAGAUGUUGGGUUAAGUCCCGCAACGAGCGCAACCCUUGACCUUAGUUGCCAGCAUUCAGUUGGGCACUCUAAGGUGACUGCCGGUGACAAACCGGAGGAAGGUGGGGAUGACGUCAAAUCAUCAUGCCCCUUAUGACCUGGGCUACACACGUGCUACAAUGGAUGGUACAAAGGGUUGCUAGACCGCGAGGUUACGCCAAUCCCAUAAAACCAUUCUCAGUUCGGAUUGUAGGCUGCAACUCGCCUACAUGAAGCCGGAAUCGCUAGUAAUCGCGGAUCAGCAUGCCGCGGUGAAUACGUUCCCGGGCCUUGUACACACCGCCCGUCACACCACGAGAGUUUGUAACACCCGAAGUCGGUGAGGUAACCUUUUGGAGCCAUUCCGCCGAAGGUGGGACUAGAUGCGGGGGGUCACCUCCCCUAGAGGUGACCCGA
rnacentral:rRNA from 1 species